UUGUUAUUAUUAGAAUAUUAAUUUUAUGUUUUAUUAAUAAAAAUAAUUUAUAUUUAAGUAUAUUGAAUAAAUAAUUUUUUCUAUAAUGUAAGUAUCGAUAGAGAAUGUCAAUAAUAAAUUUAUAAGUAGUUUAAUUAAUAUACCUUUUGUAUCAGGGUUUAUCAAAAUUGAUUUAUAACAAAACUUUCCCGAAUUUAUUAGAAAGAGAUUAUAGUGUUUUUAUAUGUUACAAAAUAUUCUAAAACUUUAAUUUUGUAAUGAAAUAUUUUCAGAAAUAGUAUAUCUGGUUCUUUAAAAGUUAGAUUUAAUCUAAACUUUAUAAAGUCUUGACAAAAUUUUAUUUGUCAAAAUUGUUAAAGGAAAUUCAUAUAGGGUUUAGCUUGUAUGACAAUUUAUAAGCUAUUUUAUUUAAUUUAAGUAGGAUUAGUAAUGUCUUUCAUAUAUUUUGUAAUAAUAAUUUUUGUUUAUUUUUUAAUUUAUAAAGUUUUAAGGGUUUAUUGAAGUUUUUUGUUAAAUGUAUUAAUAAAAGUAAUAAUGGUAAAAUUAGUAUAAUAAUUAAAACAUAGGAAUUCGGCAAAUAUUUUCUUUACCUGUUUAACAAAAACAUGUCCUUUAGGUUUUAUUUAAGGUCUGGCCUGCUCAAUGAAAUUUAAAUAGCCGCAGUAUCUUAACUGUGCGAAGGUAGCAUAAUCAUUUGUCUUUUAAUUAAAGACUGGAAUGAAUGGUAUAAUAAAAGGAAAUCUUUCUUUAUUUUAAUGAAAACUUAACUUUUAAGUCAAAAGGCUUAAAUUUUAGUGAGGGACGAGAAGACCCUUUAGAACUUUAAAUUAAAUUUUUAUUUUAUAUUUAGUUUAUAUUGUGGAAUAGAUUAGAUAUUUUUUGUUGGGGUGACAUUAAAGAUUUUUUAACCUUUAAAAUUAAAACUUAAAUGGGAGUUUAAUUGAUCCAAAAUUUUUGAUUAAAAGAUUAAGUUACCUAAGGGAUAACAGCGUAAUUUUAUUGGAGAGGGUCUUAUCAAUAAUAGAGUUUGCGACCUCGAUGUUGGAUUAAAAUAAGUUUAUGGUGUAGUAAUUGUAUUCCUAGGUCUGUUCGACUUUUAAAUUUUUACAUGAUCUGAGUUCAAACCGGCGUAAGCCAGGUUGGUUUCUAUCUUUACUUUAAUUAAUUAUAUUAGUACGAAAGGACCAUAUAAAGGGAUUUUAUCUUAAGAAUUGAAUACUAGU
rnacentral:rRNA from 1 species